AGCAUUACCGACCCGUAAUUAAUCUUGUUGUUGUUGUGCUCUAGAAGGAAAGGAGCUUGACCCUCCUGUAAUGAAUAAGAGAAUAUUGUUGUUCU